GGUCUCAGCACACAACCGGCGGGUCCCCUAGUACCCAUCGAGUGCAGAACAGGUUAUCUGUCUAACAAUAGUAUGGAAAUAACCCAGUCUACAUGCCAGGGCAAUGGAAGAUGGCAACCAAGUCAACCAUUGUGUGAAAGCUGCUCUAUGGUUUGCAAUAAUGCCAGUGUUACCAGCUGUGCCAGGAUCACUGUGUCUAACAUACAAGGCAUAAAUUGCCCAUGUAACAGUAUUGAUGAAAUCUGGACAAGGUCUGCUCAGGACUGUGUGCCAACCCAUUGCCCAGCUCAAGAAGGAAACUCCCUCUUCGAUGAUAUUCCGAGAUUGAAAGUGAAUAAUUCUACGUAUGUGGCUU